UCCAGGGUAGCCUAGUGGACAUGGCAUCUGCCAUGUAAGCAAAACACUGUGAGUUCGAUUUACAUCCCUGGAC